UGAUUCUUGAAGUCAACCCAGAUGUC
rnacentral:piRNA from 1 species